CCUACGGGAGGCAGCAGUGAGGAAUAUUGGUCAAUGGGCGUAAGCCUGAACCAGCCAAGUCGCGUGAGGGAUGAAGGUUCUAUGGGUCGUAAACCUCUUUUAUAAGGGAAUAAAGUGCGGGACGUGCGCCUUUUUGUAUGUACCUUAUGAAUAAGGAUCGGCUAACUCCGUGCCAGCAGCCGCGGUAAUACGGAGGAUCCGAGCGUUAUCCGGAUUUAUUGGGUUUAAAGGGUGCGUAGGCGGCCUGUUAAGUCAGCGGUGAAAGUCUGUGGCUCAACCAUAGAAUUGCCGUUGAAACUGGGAGGCUUGAGUAUGUUUGAGGCAGGCGGAAUGCGUGGUGUAGCGGUGAAAUGCUUAGAUAUCACGCAGAACCCCGAUUGCGAAGGCAGUCUGCCAAGCUAUGACUGACGCUGAUGCACGAAAGCGUGGGGAUCAAACAGGAUUAGAUACCCUAGUAGUC
rnacentral:rRNA from 1 species